rnacentral:rRNA from 1 species
UGCGCAGGCGGGCUUGUAAGUCAGUGGUGAAAUACUGCCGCUCAACGGUAGAACUGCCAUUGAUACUGCAAGUCUUGAAUAUGGUUGAGGUAGGCGGAAUGUGUCAUGUAGCGGUGAAAUGCAUAGAUAUGACACAGAACGCCAAUUGCGAAGGCAGCUUACUAAGCCAUUAUUGACGCUGAGGCACGAAAGCGUGGGGAGCGAACAGGAUUAGAUACCCUGGUAGUCC